CUCUCUCUCUCUCUCUCUCACACACACACACACACACACAGCCCGUCUCGCGCCUGAGGUCUCGCCCGCAGGCCGGUGGCGCGGGGUCAGCUGCUGCCUGCGGUCCAGGACAGGGUCGGUUCCGCCGCGCAGCGCCCAGGCCCAGCUCGUCCAGAGUCUGCGGACAGCGCACGUCCAGACAUCGCCCACUCGGGCUCACAGUGCCAUCCGGGUGAGGACCUCCGUGGAGAGCUCUCUUUGCCAAAGAAAAGCAGUUGCAUUAGGUCUGCGAGCAGGCAGGGUGGCCUCUUCCUGGCUCCCCAUCCACCAAGGAAGCUUCAAGUCCCUGGGACACAGAGUCAUCUCUGGUCCACCUUGAAGUCCCCAGGAAAAUGACCUCGUCCUCCGCGGGCACUUUCCCACACAGGAUGGAGCCGGGCCACCCUCACAGCUCCUGCCCUGCAGACGCUGGCCUUGUGGAGGGAGGCAGGCAGCAGGAGCAGUGCUUUCUGGGCCUCUGUAGCCAGAGCUGGCCCUGCUGCAGCUUACGUCUGCCUGCAGCCCAGACGUCCUCCUGGUCCUCCUGAUGCCCCCGACCUCCACGGAGGACGAGCAUUUCCAGCCCAGCCCUCCCCAUCUUCACCUCGCACUCCCCUGACACACUGGGAGCCUCCUGAUCCGUGAACCCGCGCUGGCGGGAGUAGCUACUGACCGCUGGGGACCCCUGCCCAGGCUGUUCGCAUGUGGAAAGGAUUCAGGGAGCAGGCGAUGCCCAAAGCGUGGAGACCAGCACUGCUCUCUCCCCAGUGACAGUACAGCUGUGCCGUGUACAGGAGGGUGCUGUCUGACGCCAGACACCUGGACUACAGAUCGCAGCCUGAUUCCUGGUCAUUGCUCCACUGAACCCCAGACCCCAGCCUCGUUCUGGGCCCUCAUCCCCUAGAUCCAGGGACCCCAGCCCCAUUUCAGCCCUUGGGCCCUUGUAGGAUGCGAGGCCCUGGGCCCCAGCCCCCAGCCCAUCCGUGGCCCAGGCACUGGGGGGCUGAGGUCCUCUGAGAAGGGACACAGGGCCUGGGGGGCUCUCUCAGCCCAUCAGCAGGAGAGGACUGACUCCAGAAAAAUCAGCGUUUGUACCCACUCAGGCUGCCAAGACCUGUGUCCGUCCUUCCAAGCUCAACCUUCAGAGUUCAUGAGGCCCCUUGCCCAGAAUGUCCACAGAGUUCAUGAGGCCCCUUGCCCGGAAUGUCCACAUUUGAAACCUCCCAACACCGAGCCCCAUUUCAAGUAUAACCAGGAGGGAAAAUGGUGCUUGAAAUAAGCAUGCCACAAAGGAAAACCUGCUUUCUCGAAAUGGGCCCUGGCCGCCCAGGCCCUGACCUCCCCGGCCAGGAUGGAACGUUCCAGAGACCCAUUAGUGCCAAAGGCAAAUGAAAACACACCCUGUGAAAAUGUC
ensembl:lncRNA CEROX1 cytoplasmic endogenous regulator of oxidative phosphorylation 1